UAUGUGAUCGUCUCUCGCAUAUCAAUAAGCGGAGGAAAAGAAACUAACAAGGAUUCCCCUAGUAACGGCGAGUGAAGCGGGAAGAGCUCAAAUUUGAAAUCUUAAAGGGUUUCCCUUUACGAAUUGUAGUUUAAAGAAGUGUUUUCUGUUGAGGUUUUGGUAAAAGUUCUUUGGAAUAGGACAUCAUAGAGGGUGAGAAUCCCGUAUUUGACCUUUACUUUCAACUUUGUGAUACACUUUCAAAGAGUCGGAUCGUUUGGGAAUGCAGUCCAAAAUGGGUGGUAAAUUUCAUCUAAAGCUAAAUAUUGGCGAGAGACCGAUAGCGAACAAGUACCGUGAGGGAAAGAUGAAAAGAACUUUGAAAAGAGAGUUAAACAGUACGUGAAAUUGUCAAAAGGGAAGCGUUUGACACCAGUGUUGUUUUUCUGAAAAUCAAUUAAUGAACUGUUUAUGCUAAGUUGUUUAGACUUUAUCAGCUAACUGUUUAGUUUUGAGCUUUUCUUUAAUGCACUUUUCAGUUAACAAGUCAACAUCAAUUUCUUUUGCUGUAAAAAAGCUUGAGGAAGGUGGCUUGAGAUUCGUCUUAAGUGUUUAUAGCCUCUUGCCUAUGCAGUCGGAGAGAUUGAGGUCUGCAGCGUAGAUCCUUCGGGGCUAAAUGCAUUUGUGCUAAGUUAUAGCAUUUUAUAGACAACUGGUUGACUAUGAUUUGUCUUGCAGCUUACUCGCUUAUGUUAUUUUACCUACGCUUAGGAUGUUGAUAUCGCGCUCUCACUG
rnacentral:rRNA from 1 species